rnacentral:rRNA from 1 species
GACGAACGCUGGCGGCGUGCUUAACACAUGCAAGUCGAGCGGUAAGGCCCUUUCGGGGGUACACGAGCGGCGAACGGGUGAGUAACACGUGGGUGACCUGCCCUCAGCUCUGGGAUAAGCCGUGGGAAACCGGGUCUAAUACUGGAUAUGACUCCAUGACGCAUGGUUGUGGGGUGGAAAGCCUUGUGCGGCUGAGGAUGGGCCCGCGGCCUAUCAGCUUGUUGGUGGGGUGAUGGCCUACCAAGGCGACGACGGGUAGCCGG